rnacentral:lncRNA from 1 species
UGAGUAAUUGAACCUCAAAAGUUGGAUGCAAAAAAUAUUUGAAAAUGGUUUAAAAAUAAAUUGAAAAAUGAAAAUAAAAAUAAAAAUGAAUAAAAAAUAUUAAUAAAUGCUAAAAUGAUUUUAAAAAUUAUGAAAGAAAUAUAUAAGAUGCAAAAUAUUUAUGGUUUUUUGUAAAACAUUUGGAUCAAAAUGAAUUAAAAUCAAUCAAAAUCAAAAUAAAAAAGUAAAUGAAAAUAAAAUAAAAAGAAAAUGUUUGAAUUACGACGCGCCAACGGCUAACACGCGUGUCAGGCAAUGAUUGGAUGGAUUCAAACUUUGGCACAAAAG